rnacentral:rRNA from 1 species
UAGCGGUGAAAUGCGUAGAGAUCUGGAGGAAUACCGGUGGCGAAGGCGGCCCCCUGGACAAAGACUGACGCUCAGGUGCGAAAGCGUGGGGAGCAAACAGGAUUAGAUACCCUGGUAGUCCACGCCGUAAACGAUGUCUACUUGGAGGUUGUGCCCUUGAGGCGUGGCUUCCGGAGCUAACGCGUUAAGUAGACCGCCUGGGGAGUACGGCCGCAAGGUUAAAACUCAAAUGAAUUGACGGGGGCCCGCACAAGCGGUGGAGCAUGUGGUUUAAUUCGAUGCAACGCGAAGAACC